CCUACGGGAGGCUGCAGUGGGGAAUAUUGCACAAUGGGCGCAAGCCUGAUGCAGCCAUGCCGCGUGUGUGAAGAAGGCCUUCGGGUUGUAAAGCACUUUCAGCGGGGAGGAAGGCGGUGAGGUUAAUAACCUCAUCGAUUGACGUUACCCGCAGAAGAAGCACCGGCUAACUCCGUGCCAGCAGCCGCGGUAAUACGGAGGGUGCAAGCGUUAAUCGGAAUUACUGGGCGUAAAGCGCACGCAGGCGGUCUGUCAAGUCGGAUGUGAAAUCCCCGGGCUCAACCUGGGAACUGCAUUCGAAACUGGCAGGCUAGAGUCUUGUAGAGGGGGGUAGAAUUCCAGGUGUAGCGGUGAAAUGCGUAGAGGUCUGGAGGAAUACCGGUGGCGAAGGCGGCCCCCUGGACAAAGACUGACGCUCAGGUGCGAAAGCGUGGGGAGCAAACAGGAUUAGAUACCCGAGUAGUC
rnacentral:rRNA from 1 species